AGGUAGAUAGUCAAGUGGCUGAAGACAGCGGAAUUUGACUCCGCUGCGCGAUAUGCGCCUCGCUGGUUCGAAUCCAGCUCUGCCUGCCA
rnacentral:tRNA from 1 species